UCGUGAAGUGAUUUGUUUGGUUGAUUCCGUUAACGAACGAGAUCUCAUCCGCUUACUAGGGCUGCUCCCGAUUUACGUGUGCGACUCGGCAGUUCGCUGUUGGAGGAGCACACAAGGGGGUGGUACCUUCUCAGCGGCACCUGGCGUGCUUUGCAGCACCAUGGAGCGAGCCAAUAGCA
rnacentral:rRNA from 1 species